CUCUUUUUCUCUGGUGCAGGCUGGGCGAUGGCUCAGGGUAUACCCCAUGGGUACAGAAAAUGUUCUGCUUCUGGGUCCUCCACCUCCACCUCCAUUCAAAAUCUUGCUCCUUGAUACAAGUGGAUCCUCUAAGAAACUUGGGAGCCUUGUGGGCUGGUGGAGAACUCUCAAGAUGGCACCAGCCUGUCUAUGGUCUAUGUGGGAAUCACCGCCAUCCUUGCCAUUCCAUGCAGUGUACCAUGUGAUGGGCUGCAUUACUUAGUGACAAUGCUACCUUCUCACUCCUUGCACAGAGGAGAGACAGACACCUGCUUGCUCCAGGGCCUGCCUGAGCUCAGGCUCUGCCACAGGGAUGAAGAGGUUGGAGAAUGUUUCUGCCAAAUGCCAACAACGCCUCCUCAAGGACGAUUCAUGGCGGCUGUUAGCCUGUGCUCAACUUCCCUUGGCAAAACUGCAACAAAGGCAUGGCAGCAGUUUGAUGUUCACAGAGAGUAGUGAAUACAAAGCAUGGCUUUAGGCAGACUUCCUUUAAACAUGCACAGUCUCC
rnacentral:lncRNA from 10 species